rnacentral:misc_RNA from 1 species
GAUGAAGAACGUAGCGAAAUGCGAUAAGUAAUGUGAAUUGCAGAAUUCAGUGAAUCAUCGAAUCUUUGAACGCACCUUGCGCCUUUUGGUAUUCCGAAAGGCACACCUGUUUGAGCGUCAUGAAUACCUCAAUCUCCAUCUUUUCUUCGGAUUGAUGGGUGACUUGGAUGUUGAGCCCUGCUGGUAUGCUAUAUCAGCUGGCUUUAAACUUAUUAGCCGGCUCUGUACUGGAUCGGUUUGACUCGACGUGAUAAUAUUAUCGUUGAGGAUGCAUGUCUCAUGCAGCCGGAAAGUAUCAAAGCAGCUUCUAGCUUGCCUUUAGUGCACUUUUACAUUUUAGAUCUCAGAUCAGGUGGGACUACCCGCUGAACUUAAGCAUAUCAAUAAGCGGAGGA